CGGCGCCCCCCACAUGUAUGCUCGUCCUCGCUGUCGACGCAGGGGAAUCCGGCGCGAAUCCGGAACUGUCCCGCAACGGUGUGCUUACGUGCGGUUUCGUACGAAGUGAGUCCGAGGACCUGCCGACAGCGCGCCCGGUCC
rnacentral:ncRNA from 2 species